rnacentral:rRNA from 1 species
AACGAACGCUGGCGGCAGGCUUAACACAUGCAAGUCGAGCGCCCCGCAAGGGGAGCGGCAGAAGGGUGAGUAACACGUGGGGAUCUGCCCAAUGGUACGGAAUAGCUCCGGGAAACUGGAAUUAAUACCGUAUGUGCCCGCAAGGGGAAAGAUUUAUCGCCAUUGGAUGAACCCGCGUCGGAUUAGCUAGUUGGUGUGGUAAAGGCGCACCAAGGCGACGAUCCGUAGCUGGUCUGAGAGGAUGAUCAGCCACACUGGGACUGAGACACGGCCCAGACUCCUACGGGAGGCAGCAGUGGGGAAUAUUGGACAAUGGGCGCAAGCCUGAUCCAGCCAUGCCGCGUGAGUGAUGAAGGCCUUAGGGUUGUAAAGCUCUUUCGCCGACGAAGAUAAUGACGGUAGUCGGAGAAGAAGCCCCGGCUAACUUCGUGCCAGCAGCCGCCGCCG